GAUGAACGCUGGCGGCGUGCUUAAUACAUGCAAGUCGAGCGAACGGACGAGAAGCUUGUUUCUCUGAUGUUAGCGGCGCACGGGUGUGUAACACGUGGAUAACCCACUUAUAUGACUGGUAUAAUUUCGGAAAACCGGCGCUAAUACCGUAUAAUAUCCUGAACCGCAUGGUGGAAUAGUAAAAGACGGCCUUGCGGUCACUUAUAGAUGGAUCUGCGCUGCAUUAGCUAGUUGGUACGGUAACGGCUUACCAAGGCAACGAUGCCUAGCCGACCUGUGAGGCGGGUAGGCCGCACUGGAAGUGAGCCACGGUCAAUAGUCCUGCGGGACGGCGCAGUAGCGAAUGUUAGGCAGUAGUGGAAAACCUGGCGGAGUGGCGCGGCGUGUGAUAUGAAAGUCUCCCGAUCGUAAAACUCUGUUAUUGGGGAUAAACAUCUGUGUAAGUAACUGUGCACAUCUUGACGGUACCUAAUCAGAAAGCCACGGCUAACUACGUG
rnacentral:rRNA from 1 species